GGGGAAUUAGCUCAGCUGGGAGAGCGCUUCGCUGGCAGUGAAGAGGUCGACGGUUCGAGCCCGUUAUUCUCCACCA
rnacentral:tRNA from 1 species